rnacentral:lncRNA from 1 species
CAGGCUAUGGGCUGGGCGGCGGUUGAGACAGCGGCGGUAUUGGGAGGGGUAGGUGAGGGUCGCGAGGCUGCGUGAGCAUCUGAGUGAACGCGGUGCUUUUGGGAACGCGGGACGGGCGACCUGUGGCGCCAGGAGCGGGCCGAGGCGCGGCGCACGGAUGCCAUCUGGAUGGGAAGUUACGGUUUACAGCGAAGUCCACCCAGCGUUUCCGAGGUGAAGGCGCCGCGCCAGGCCGGGGGGCGAUCUCACUCUGUUGCCCAGGCUGGAGUGCAGUGGCACAAUCACAGCUGACCGCAACCUUGACCUCCCAAGGCUCAGGUGAUCCUCCUGCCUCAGCCCCCAGGUAGCUGGGACCUACAGACAGGGCCUCACUCUAUUGCCCAGGCUAGAGUGCCGUGGCAGGAUCUCAGCUCACUGCAACCUCCACCUCCUGGCUCAAGCGAUCCUCCCACCUCAGCCUCCUGAGUAGCUGCGACUAUAGGAGUGUGCCACCAUGCCUGGCUUAAUUUUCAUAUUUUUUGUAGAGAUGGGGAUUCAACAUGUUUCCCAGGCAAUCUGAAAGCAAAUCCUGUUUAGAUGCAGGCGAAGGUUCCUGGUGACCCAGGCUCUCACCUUACCGUCCCUUACCGUCCUCCUGAGGGUGUCCUGGAGCUUCAGUGCUGUGUGUUCUUGGCCUCCACGCUGGGGGUGCCACCAACUCCCACUGUCCAGGGCUUCCAGUGGACUCUCCGAGGUACUGAUGUAGAAACUUCCCCAUUCGGUGCACCAAGAGCAACCUCACACGGUGUGGGCCGAAUGAAGAGCUGCCAGAUCCCACAGAUGGAGUUAUUUCUCUUUUCCUUGGGCUCAAAUGCAACGGCGCCAUCUCAGCUCACUGCAACCUCCACCUCCUGAGUUCAAGUGAUUCUCCUGCCUCAGCAUCCUGAAUAGCUGGGAUUACAGGCGCCUGCCACCACACCUGGCUAAUGUUUGUAUUUUUGGUAGAGACAGGGUUUCUUCAUGUUGGCCAGGUUGGUCUCUAACUCUUGACCUCAAGUGAUCCACCUGCCUUGGCCUCUCAAAGUGCUAGGAUUACAGACACGAG